ensembl:lncRNA
GGUGGGGCUCACAAGGAAGACCAGGACCCCUGCUGCUUACACCUGCUUUUGACACAACUUGCAGCUACACAAACACACAUCAUGGUGUAUCUGACUCUUGAGAAGAAGGCUACUGUCAUUGACUUGUGGAGGGCACAGCUUGAGAUGAGACUGAAAUACUAAGUCCAAAUUGGGUGCCUCUGCUAACAUUGUCCUUGUUUUUUAUCUCUGCCACACAGCUCCUGGGCAAUAUACUGGCCACAAGACAUGUCAGAUCUUAGCUCCCUGAACAGAAAUAGAACUCUCACCCCCUACAUUAGACCAAGCCUUAAACACUAGACUGUCACGGAAGUCCCAGUAUUUCCCCAGAUUUUAUCUUCUGAACUUGGCGAAAUAAUGUCCACCCUCAAUGAUAUGACUUCUUCCAAAUAAAGAACUUUCAGCUCAA